rnacentral:tRNA from 1 species
UCAGUGAUAGUUCAGUGGUAGAACUCUUGCCUUCCGUGUGGGAGACCUGGGUUCAAUUCCCGGCCAAAGGA